UUUUCGUCUGAAUAAAAGAGGAUGAGAACCUCCGAAGGAGGGUUGCGCCGAGCGCAGCGAGACAACGUUGCGAACGCAACGGCCCGAAGGGGGCUUACGCAGUAAGCCUAAUCCUCUCUCGCCGACCA
rnacentral:sRNA from 1 species